rnacentral:misc_RNA from 1 species
AGAUCAUGCUUCAUUCUGAAUGGAAACUGAUCCAAAGAAGAAAAGGAGGAAAACAGGCAUUUUUACCAUUAAAGGUUCUGAAAGAUACAAAAACUUUUCGUGUUUGGCAUUAUGUUCCGUAUCUUCUACAUGUUUCAACAAGUUGAGAGGGAUGAUCCGCAGUUAGUUGCCUGUACCGGUGUCCUAGAUAAAAUGCUGUCAGUAUCCACAUCAAGCAGACAGGCAGGGCAUAUAGAGAAACAGCUGAUGCCUUGCCAUUGAGAGUGCUGAAGAGUAGCUUGUACAUUGCAGCUGCUGUAGCAUCCCCAAGUCUUUGAACAAUCACAUCUAUGCAUACCUUUGCUUUAUACUUCUCGUCCUGUGAGACAACAGUGAAAAGAAGCUCCCUUGCAGGCCUGGUAACGACGUAUGUGACCACCUUCCUCAGGGUUUCUGAGAUGGCCACUGCAAUCCAUGUGGGCCAUACUGCUAAAGCAAUUAGAUUCGCAAAGGCAACAAAAGGUGCGGAGCAAAUGGCUAGAGUAACACCAG